CUUGCCCUACUGGAUUGUUUCUUCAUUCUUUUGUUUUUUUUUGGAAUUAAAACCAAACUUAAAAAUACCUACUGUAACGUAUUUUGAAAUGCCACCUGGAUAUGAAGUUGUUAUAAGGCAACACUUUAUCCAUAAGCGCAUUCGUUUCUCGCUACUAUUUGUGUGCUACAUUUUUACUCAAAUACUGGAAUUAACUCGCUAGCAUUUGUAAUUGCCGAGGGUUCAAGCUGAUAAAGAUUAGAUAGAAUCGUCCAUUUUGUCAUCUAACCCUUAAGAGGAAGAAUAUAGUUCAUCCAAAAAUUUCUAAAAAUAACCUUGUUCACCUUCAGAAAGUCAUUAAAUCAGUUCAAGUUGCGGUUAUAAUUUUGGUUGUGUGACUUGGCCACAUAAUUUUAUGCAUUUGGAUGAUAGCCUUUGAAUCUCUUUAACAAUUACCCUAUGGAAUAAAAUCCAUAGUCAAAGAGGAAGACUCGCAUUUGAUUACAACAAUUGUUUUGUGAAGGAAGAGAUCUUAUUGAACAAAAGCUUUUGUUCUCACAAAACACAUUUUUCGGCCUCACAUAUUCCCAAACCGCAACGCAGCGUCAGUGUGAUUAUUAACUUUUACUCCAACAGCGUCGAUUACAUCAAGACGGGCAAAUGCCCUGUGUCAAUCAAUAACCAGAAAUAUGGGAGAAAUGUGAAAUUUGAUGUAUUAUUACAAACUGCUUUGUUUUCAAGAUAUGAAGAAAAAACCAAUUUCGGCACGAAUCGGGAUAUAUUCAACCAGAUCAGCUAGAUAUCACCUUGUGAAUCUGGUGGAAGUUUUUUAUGCAUAACAUCAUCAUUAACAUUACCCUGUAAAGGUCAGUAAUUACACCCUGAAUUCGCCGAAAGUACUUUCUGCGUGGGAGCCACAAAAUGACCAAGUAAGUUUUUAUUAUCAUUUUUGUUUUGAUUACAUACUAUGAACAACUGUUGGUAUCAUGGAGGUAUCGUCAAAGAAAUAAAGCAAAAGAAUACACCAAUUGAGUUCUUUGGCUUCUAUCUAUCUCUGCUACAUUAUUUACAUUUUUGUUUUCUGUUUUUUUUUAUUUUUGUGAUCGGGUUUGAAAGUGAUACCCUGAAGAAGGUUUUGUUGAUUGAUGAAAGUCAUAAUCAGUUCGACUCAACUAUCUUUGGGAUCAUAAUAUUUUGAGUUGCUGUGUAAGAAGUUGAUAAGCAAUAAUAGUAACUGGUUCAAACAUAAACAGCUUUUGGAUUUAUAUUAUAAAAAAUUACGUUUCUUAUUCUAAAUUGUUUAUUUAGUUUUUGCAUGCAUAAUUGAUAGAUAUUAUUUUUUCCAUUGUUAGAACAAAUACUUAUAUUGAGCUCAUCGCAAUGCAAGUUACAUUUUUGGCGUUCGCAAAUGUGUACUUUCAUAAAUCUAAGUUACAAUUUAAUUUUAUUUUUAAUUUGAAACUCUAGUUAUGAUUAAGGUUAAGGAUUCUGUUUUUUUUUUUUGUUUUUGUAAAAUCCUUUAAUAUGAAAAUAAAAUUAAUUAUGAAUUCUGAGUAGAUCACUUUUUUUUAACUUUUUGAUUUCCCCGUAUAAAGUUGCUUGCUUCAUGAGGUCCUGGGGGUCACUAAAAUGUCUUUUAUCUCCGUUUGGAUUAGUUAUUAAUGUGACCAUGGUUGGGAGGGCGCAAGAGCACAUCAACAGCUGUAGCUCUGGAUCAUUUGUAGUGUCGUCUUUCUCACUCAUCAGUUUGUCUCCUACCUUUUUACUUCCUCUCCUUCCCCUUUGGGAAAUAUCUAGCUCUAUUUUAAUUUUUAUCACCAAAUUGUAUCUUCGAGUUUAGAAAUCAUGGUGUAUCUUUUCGUUCAAUCAUUAACAAGUACACUCGAAGAAAAAUUUUAGUGCACGCAAUUUGUUUUAUGUAUUUAUUAUGUUCAGUGGAUUUACAAACAUGACAGUAGAUGAACCCAACCCCACCGGCGAGCUAAUAAGGCCGUGUAUCUGCGUGCCACUGUCACAAAAAGUUUGUUGUCAACAUCAGCCACAAUAAUUCAACCGUUAUAUGUUACAUAAUAAAUAAAAUGG